rfam:Danio rerio chromosome 4, GRCz11 reference primary assembly.
GUCUUUGUGGCUCAAUCAGUUAGCGCGUUCGGCUGUUAACUGAAAGGUUGGUGGUUCAAGCCCACCCAGGGACG